GAGCUCAGUCGCAGGGUGUCUGCCUUGCGAGCAGAAGGUCCCAGGUUCAAAUCCUGACAUCUGCA